AUUUGUUCCAGAAGUUCCCAGCUUUGCUCCAAGAGGGAUUUCCCUGCCGUGUGUCUGCAGUCCCCGAUUCGUUUCCCGCUGGAUGGUGCAGAUUAAGUGGGUUUCAGCCCAACGCAGAAACAAAGAAACGAUGCUAACCGUGAAGAGUCGGAACCGAGAAUAGACGGAACUCUCAACAGACGGUGCGGAGAAGUGGAGGUGCGAACAAAGAUCGGUUUUGCUCCCGAUCUUUGUUUUAAAAAAGAGCUUGAACUUUGAGAAGACAGAGGAAGAAAUGAUCAUAGAAGCUAAAGAAGGGGGAAGACGAUCAGCUCUGCUCGCCCGUCCGCAGAAGCAGCCAACAGCUUUCUAUCCGGACGGCUGCAGCUGAUGAGAAGCAUUAAGUAUUCUCGGGAAUCUACACGUGGGAAACUACAAAAAGACCAACACGUUACGAACACCACCUCCCUCCCCAGCACUCGGCGAGGCCGAAUCCAGCACCGACUUACCCAUUCCGCUCCUUCUCUUUUUAAUUAAGAUCACUUUUUAAGCAAACUCUCCCACUCCGAAGAAAAAAUAGCAAUAAUAAUAAUAAUAAGAGCCAAGGAAAUAUAUAAAGAAGAGGCAGCCCCACUCGUUGGCAGAGCAUCCUCCCACCACUUGUUAGAGCGAACCUUCCCCAGCUCCGGCCGAUUUCGCGUUAUUUCAUUUUUCUCACUCCUUUCCUAGACUGGCGAGAGAGCAAAGGAGCCUCCAGCAGAACGGACACCUCGAAAUCCCCAAUUGCGUGGGAAUGGGGACAGAGAAAGACUUGAGGACGGAACCAUGGAGACAGAGGAUUCCUCACAAACCAGAAUGCCUGCCAGGGUAUGGUGGCCUGCUGUUGGGAUGGAUUUUAACCAAGGAAAAGCGG
ensembl:lncRNA